rnacentral:rRNA from 1 species
UACAGAGGGUGCAAGCGUUAAUCGGAAUUACUGGGCGUAAAGCGUCCGCAGGUGGCUGUGUAAGUCUGCUGUUAAAGAGUGAGGCUCAACCUCAUAAGAGCAGUGGAAACUACAUAGCUAGAGUGCGUUCGGGGCAGAGGGAAUUCCUGGUGUAGCGGUGAAAUGCGUAGAUAUCAGGAAGAACACCGGUGGCGAAAGCGCUCUGCUAGGCCGCAACUGACACUGAGGGACGAAAGCUAGGGGAGCGAAUGGG